rnacentral:lncRNA from 1 species
CGAGAGAUUUUGUGGCAUUGCAGAGAGCGAAUAAGCGGAAUGGAAAAAUAGGUCAGAUGACUCUGGCAAGGUAUAGCCUAGAAUAGAUGCUAUUAUACCAUGCCUGAUGCAUGAUUGUUGCAGCCUCUUCAAUUGAAUGAACAAUGACAAAAGUUACAAAGACAACUACAAUCCUACAGCAUCGAAAGUGUUAAAAGAAGACAAUUGCUUACCAUUUGCUGGCAAAUUGGGAUCUUGCUUAAAAGUACUUGAUACCUUUUUCAUGGGAAACCUCAUUUCGCAUUCUUCUGCCAUUUUGAUUUACUUUUAUCAAAGUGUCAACCAUUUUUUUAGUCUGUAGACUGACAAAUUCAGGAUGAGUUUACUUCCAAGCAUUGACACAACAUACAUCUCCAUGUAAAGUCUUAAUUAACAUCAAUCCAUUUUAUGUAGGAGUUGAUUUUUAAUUUUUGCUUGAAAAACGGAUAAGUUGAAUGGUUGAGUAUGGUUGUUGCCCAGCAGAUUAAAACAUUAUAGUUUUGGUCGCACCUAUUGCCCCUCAAAAUUUUGAAGGGUAAUAGACUUUUCCUAUAGUUUUUAUUAACAUUUACUAGACAGAAAAAAAUGUGUUGGUGAAUGUCGUCAAGAAUGCAGAUGAUUUAGUUAAUUUACUGUGGUAUCAACCUAAUCAAAAUCUUCAUAUGUUAAGUGCUUUCAGACGUCAUUGGUGCUGAAUUUUUGAGUAUAUUAUCACCAGAAUGUCAUACAAAAUAACUUGGGCAGGUAAAUCCUUGUAUUUUGUGUUUUAAUUUUAAUCACUCAUCUAUAUUACAUGAGCAAAACAUAUAUUGCCGAAAGAAAACAGAUACCUUUGGACAAUGGUUUCACCAAGGGCAGUGAAUGCAUUUCUCUUUUCACCAUUGGUCAGCUGACUUGCCUUCCCAGUUGCAAUGAAGAAGAAUGAUUAGUCAAAAGUAUUAAAAGGAAACAAGCAACAGUUAUGGUUCGUUUGGUUGGAGCCCUUUGUCAACAAAGGGAGAGAGGACCAAGUCAAACGUAUCCGAAAGGUACGGGGUUACAAGAUGGAAGCUUAGCCACGGUUUAUUGUCAAACAAAUAGACACGGCUGUCGGAGCCCUCUGUGAGCAGGGCAUUUGACGAACCGGGCACUCAAAUGACGCUAAAGACUUUUCACUUUGUUGGUGUGGCACCGAUGAACAUCACACAGGAACUUUCUGGAUUAAGGAAAUCAUUAACGCCCUAAAGGCCUUUAGUACACCUGUUAUCUCCACCCAGCUUCUAAUUGUUGACGACCCGGAAUAUGCGCGACAAGUUAAAGGAAGGAUCGAAAACAAUUUUCGGAGAAAUAAAUUAAACAAUUUUUCGUUAUCAAUAUUUUUCAAUUGUCUUUUUAUGUGACGGGAUAUUUCGAUGAAGUAUAACUGCCUGAUGAUGUUUAAUGUCGAUUAAAUUAGACAUUAACCGAAUCCGCUUGCUAAAACUCGAGGUGGCUGCAAAUUCUAUCCAGUAGAGCCUCUCUAUACAUGUAAACUGAAAAUAAAGCCUGCUUUCAUCGAAGUCAUUAGUGAAACAAUAAAAAUUGUAAAUCUGUGCUCCAUCUGCAAAAUCGUCAAUGAUAUGUGAGGCAGUACCUCAAAGAACAAUUGCCUAGGGACUUCAUUCAGGGUUUGCCAACUGCUAGCCGAGCUGUCAUCAACAUCGACGAUACAAGGAAACCGCAUAGAUAGUGUGUAGGUUUUGAUUUCUAUAUCAGCUGCAGCAAUGACAAUGACCAUGACUAACAUGUGGAAAUGAUAGCAAACGGCGUUUAUCUGUUAACUGCUU